rnacentral:rRNA from 1 species
GAGCUCGUAGGCGGUUUGUCACGUCUGCUGUGAAAACCCGAGGCUCAACCUCGGGCUUGCAGUGGGUACGGGCAGACUAGAGUGCGGUAGGGGAGAUUGGAAUUCCUGGUGUAGCGGUGGAAUGCGCAGAUAUCAGGAGGAACACCGAUGGCGAAGGCAGAUCUCUGGGCCGUAACUGACGCUGAGGAGCGAAAGCAUGGGGAGCAAACAGGCUUAGAUACCCUGGUAGUCCAUGCCGUAAACGUUGGGAACUAGAUGUGGGGACCAUUCCACGGUCUCCGUGUCGUAGCUAACGCAUUAAGU